GAUGAAGAACGUAGCGAAAUGCGAUAAGUAAUGUGAAUUGCAGAAUUCAGUGAAUCAUCGAAUCUUUGAACGCACAUUGCGCCCCCUGGUAUUCCGGGGGGCAUGCCUGUCCGAGCGUCAUUGCUGCCCUCAAGCACGGCUUGUGUGUUGGGCCUCCGUCCUCCUCCCGGGGGACGGGCCCGAAAGGCAGCGGCGGCACCGCGUCCGGUCCUCGAGCGUAUGGGGCUUCGUCACCCGCUCUUGUAGGCCCGGCCGGCGCUUGCCGACACAUCAAUCUUUUUUCCAGGUUAACCUCGGAUCAGGUAGGGAUACCCGCUGAACUUAAGCAUAUCAAUAAGCGGAGGA
rnacentral:misc_RNA from 1 species